rnacentral:tRNA from 1 species
GCCCCUAUAGCUCAGUCUGGUAGAGCAGCUCCCUUUUAAGGAGAUGGUCCCAGGUUCAAAUCCUGGUGGGGGCACAA